rnacentral:rRNA from 1 species
AGUAACGCGUAAGAACUUGCCCUUUAGACUGGGAUAACAGAGGGAAACUUCUGAUAAUACUGGAUAAGUUAGUAUAUCGCAUGAUAUGCAAAUGAAAGCUACGGCACUAAAGGAGAGCUUUGCGUCCUAUUAGCUAGUUGGUAAGGUAAGAGCUUACCAAGGCGAUGAUAGGUAGCCGGCCUGAGAGGGUGGACGGCCACAAGGGGACUGAGAUACGGCCCUUACUCCUACGGGAGCAGCAGAA